CUGUGAGCUCGAUGAGUAGGGCGGGACACGUGGUAUCCUGUCUGAAUAUGGGGGGACCAUCCUCCAAGGCUAAAUACUCCUGACUGACCGAUAGUGAACCAGUACCGUGAGGGAAAGGCGAAAAGAACCCCGGCGAGGGGAGUGAAAAAGAACCUGAAACCGUGUACGUACAAGCAGUGGGAGCACGCUUAGGCGUGUGACUGCGUACCUUUUGUAUAAUGGGUCAGCGACUUAUAUUCUGUAGCAAGGUUAACCGAAUAGGGGAGCCGAAGGGAAACCGAGUCUUAACUGGGCGUUAAGUUGCAGGGUAUAGACCCGAAACCCGGUGAUCUAGCCAUGGGCAGGUUGAAGGUUGGGUAACACUAACUGGAGGACCGAACCGACUAAUGUUGAAAAAUUAGCGGAUGACUUGUGGCUGGGGGUGAAAGGCCAAUCAAACCGGGAGAUAGCUGGUUCUCCCCGAAAGCUAUUUAGGUAGCGCCUCGUGAAUUCAUCUCCGGGGGUAGAGCACUGUUUCGGCAAGGGGGUCAUCCCGACUUACCAACCCGAUGCAAACUGCGAAUACCGGAGAAUGUUAUCACGGGAGACACACGGCGGGUGCUAACGUCCGUCGUGAAGAGGGAAACAACCCAGACCGCCAGCUAAGGUCCCAAAGUCAUGGUUAAGUGGGAAACGAUGUGGGAAGGCCCAGACAGCCAGGAUGUUGGCUUAGAAGCAGCCAUCAUUUAAAGAAAGCGUAAUAGCUCACUGGUCGAGUCGGCCUGCGCGGAAGAUGUAACGGGGCUAAACCAUGCACCGAAGCUGCGGCAGCGACGCUUAUGCGUUGUUGGGUAGGGGAGCGUUCUGUAAGCCUGUGAAGGUGUGCUGUGAGGCAUGCUGGAGGUAUCAGAAGUGCGAAUGCUGACAUAAGUAACGAUAAAGCGGGUGAAAAGCCCGCUCGCCGGAAGACCAAGGGUUCCUGUCCAACGUUAAUCGGGGCAGGGUGAGUCGACCCCUAAGGCGAGGCCGAAAGGCGUAGUCGAUGGGAAACAGGUUAAUAUUCCUGUACUUGGUGUUACUGCGAAGGGGGGACGGAGAAGGCUAUGUUGGCCGGGCGACGGUUGUCCCGGUUUAAGCGUGUAGGCUGGUUUUCCAGGCAAAUCCGGAAAAUCAAGGCUGAGGCGUGAUGACGAGGCACUACGGUGCUGAAGCAACAAAUGCCCUGCUUCCAGGAAAAGCCUCUAAGCAUCAGGUAACAUCAAAUCGUACCCCAAACCGACACAGGUGGUCAGGUAGAGAAUACCAAGGCGCUUGAGAGAACUCGGGUGAAGGAACUAGGCAAAAUGGUGCCGUAACUUCGGGAGAAGGCACGCUGAUAUGUAGGUGAAGUCCCUCGCGGAUGGAGCUGAAAUCAGUCGAAGAUACCAGCUGGCUGCAACUGUUUAUUAAAAACACAGCACUGUGCAAACACGAAAGUGGACGUAUACGGUGUGACGCCUGCCCGGUGCCGGAAGGUUAAUUGAUGGGGUCAGCGCAAGCGAAGCUCUUGAUCGAAGCCCCGGUAAACGGCGGCCGUAACUAUAACGGUCCUAAGGUAGCGAAAUUCCUUGUCGGGUAAGUUCCGACCUGCACGAAUGGCGUAAUGAUGGCCAGGCUGUCUCCACCCGAGACUCAGUGAAAUUGAACUCGCUGUGAAGAUGCAGUGUACCCGCGGCAAGACGGAAAGACCCCGUGAACCUUUACUAUAGCUUGACACUGAACAUUGAGCCUUGAUGUGUAGGAUAGGUGGGAGGCUUAGAAGUGUGGACGCCAGUCUGCAUGGAGCCGACCUUGAAAUACCACCCUUUAAUGUUUGAUGUUCUAACGUUGACCCGUAAUCCGGGUUGCGGACAGUGUCUGGUGGGUAGUUUGACUGGGGCGGUCUCCUCCUAAAGAGUAACGGAGGAGCACGAAGGUUGGCUAAUCCUGGUCGGACAUCAGGAGGUUAGUGCAAUGGCAUAAGCCAGCUUGACUGCGAGCGUGACGGCGCGAGCAGGUGCGAAAGCAGGUCAUAGUGAUCCGGUGGUUCUGAAUGGAAGGGCCAUCGCUCAACGGAUAAAAGGUACUCCGGGGAUAACAGGCUGAUACCGCCCAAGAGUUCAUAUCGACGGCGGUGUUUGGCACCUCGAUGUCGGCUCAUCACAUCCUGGGGCUGAAGUAGGUCCCAAGGGUAUGGCUGUUCGCCAUUUAAAGUGGUACGCGAGCUGGGUUUAGAACGUCGUGAGACAGUUCGGUCCCUAUCUGCCGUGGGCGCUGGAGAACUGAGGGGGGCUGCUCCUAGUACGAGAGGACCGGAGUGGACGCAUCACUGGUGUUCGGGUUGUCAUGCCAAUGGCACUGCCCGGUAGCUAAAUGCGGAAGAGAUAAGUGCUGAAAGCAUCUAAGCACGAAACUUGCCCCGAGAUGAGUUCUCCCUGACCCUUUAAGGGUCCUGAAGGAACGUUGAAGACGACGACGUUGAUAGGCCGGGUGUGUAAGCGCAGCGAUGCGUUGAGCUAACCGGUACUAAUGAACCGUGAGGCUUAACCUU
rnacentral:rRNA from 2 species